rnacentral:rRNA from 1 species
UACGUAGGUGGCAAGCGUUGUCCGGAUUUACUGGGUGUAAAGGGCGCGUAGGCGGGAUGGCAAGUCAGAUGUGAAAUCCAUGGGCUCAACCCAUGAACUGCAUUUGAAACUGUCGUUCUUGAGUAUCGGAGAGGCAAGCGGAAUUCCUAGUGUAGCGGUGAAAUGCGUAGAUAUUAGGAGGAACACCAGUGGCGAAGGCGGCUUGCUGGACGACAACUGACGCUGAGGCGCGAAAGCGUGGGGAGCAAACAGG